rnacentral:rRNA from 1 species
GACGAACGCUGGCGGCGUGCUUAACACAUGCAAGUCGAACGCUGAAGACCUGGCUUUUGUUGGGUUGGAUGAGUGGCGAACGGGUGAGUAACACGUGAGUAACCUGCCCUCUUCUUUGGGAUAACGCCCGGAAACGGGUGCUAAUACUGGAUAUUCACUGAUCUUCGCAUGGGGGUUGGUGGAAAGGUUUGUUCUGGUGGGGGAUGGGCUCGCGGCCUAUCAGCUUGUUGGUGGGGUGAUGGCCUACCAAGGCUUUGACGGGUAGCCGGCCUGAGAGGGUGACCGGGCACAUUGGGACGGGGAUACGGUCCAAACUCCGACGGGAGGCAGCAGUGGGGAAUAAUGCACGAUGGGCGAAAGCCUGAUGCAGCGACGCCGCGUGAGGGAUGGAGGCCUUCGGGUUGUAAACAUCUUUCGCUCAUGGUCAAGCCGCAACUGUGGGUUGUGGUGAGGGUAGUGGGUAAAGAAGCGCCGGCUAACUACGUG